UGGGGAAUAUUGCACAAUGGGCGAAAGCCUGAUGCAGCAACGCCGCGUGAGUGAUGAAGGCCUUCGGGUUGUAAAGCUCUGUCUUUUGGGACGAUAAUGACGGUACCAAAGGAGGAAGCCACGGCUAACUACGUGCCAGCAGCCGCGGUAAUACGUAGGUGGCAAGCGUUGUCCGGAUUUACUGGGCGUAAAGGAUGCGUAGGCGGAUUUUUAAGUGAGAUGUGAAAACCCUAAGCUUAACUUGGGGACUGCAUUUCAUACUGGAAAUCUAGAGUGCGGGAGAGGAGAAUGGAAUUCCUAGUGUAGCGGUGAAAUGCGUAGAGAUUAGGAAGAACACCAGUGGCGAAGGCGAUUCUCUGGACCGUAACUGACGCUGAGGCAUGAAAGCGUGGGUAGCAAACAGGAUUAGAUACCCUGGUAGUCCACGCCGUAAACGAUGAGUACUAAGUGUAGGAGGUAUCGACCCCUUCUGUGCCGCAGUUAACACAAUAAGUACUCCGCCUGGGAAGUACGAUCGCAAGAUUAAAACUCAAAGGAAUUGACGGGGUCAUAGCUG
rnacentral:rRNA from 1 species